rnacentral:rRNA from 1 species
AGGAAGUGGCGGGCGUGCUAAUACAUGCAAGUCGAGCGGACAGAAGGGAGCUUGCUCCCGGAUGUUAGCGGCGGACGGGUGAGUAACACGUGGGUAACCUGCCUGUAAGACUGGGAUAACUCCGGGAAACCGGAGCUAAUACCGGAUAGUUCCUUGAACCGCAUGGUUCAAGGAUGAAAGACGGUUUCGGCUGUCACUUACAGAUGGACCCGCGGCGCAUUAGCUAGUUGGUGAGGUAACGGCUCACCAAGGCGACGAUGCGUAGCCGACCUGAGAGGGUGAUCGGCCACACUGGGACUGAGACACGGCCCAGACUCCUACGGGAGGCAGCAGUAGGGAAUCUUCCGCAAUGGACGAAAGUCUGACGGAGCAACGCCGCGUGAGUGAUGAAGGUUUUCGGAUCGUAAAGCUCUGUUGUUAGGGAAGAACAAGUGCAAGAGUAACUGCUUGCACCUUGACGGUACCUAACCAGAAAGCCACGGCUAACUACGUGCCAGCAGCCGCGGUAAUACGUAGGUGGCAAGCGUUGUCCGGAAUUAUUGGGCGUAAAGGGCUCGCAGGCGGUUUCUUAAGUCUGAUGUGAAAGCCCCCGGCUCAACCGGGGAGGGUCAUUGGAAACUGGGAAACUUGAGUGCAGAAGAGGAGAGUGGAAUUCCACGUGUAGCGGUGAAAUGCGUAGAGAUGUGGAGGAACACCAGUGGCGAAGGCGACUCUCUGGUCUGUAACUGACGCUGAGGAGCGAAAGCGUGGGGAGCGAACAGGAUUAGAUACCCUGGUAGUCCACGCCGUAAACGAUGAGUGCUAAGUGUUAGGGGUUUCCGCCCCUUAGUGCUGCAGCUAACGCAUUAAGCACUCCGCCUGGGGAGUACGGUCGCAAGACUGAAACUCAAAGGAAUUGACGGGGGCCCGCACAAGCGGUGGAGCAUGUGGAUUUAAUUUCGAAGCAACGCGAGAACCUUACCAGUCUUGACAUCCUCUGAUAACCUAGAGAUAGGGCUUUCCUUCGGGACAGAGUGACAGGUGAUGCAUGCUUGUCGUCAGCCUCGUGUCAUGAGAUGUGGUAGUCCCGCAACGAGCGCAAACCUGAUCUAGUUGCCAGCAGU